UACAUAGGGGGCAAGCGUUAUCCGGAAUUAUUGGGCGUAAAGGGUGCGUAGGCGGCCUAUUAAGUCUGAGGUAUAAGUGCAGUGCUCAACGCUGUGAUGCUUUAGAAACUGAUAGGCUAGAGUGAGAUAGAGGCAAGUGGAAUUCCAUGUGUAGCGGUAAAAUGCGUAAAUAUAUGGAGGAACACCAGUGGCGAAGGCGGCUUGCUGGGUCUAUACUGACGCUGAGGCACGAAAGCGUGGGGAGCAAACA
rnacentral:rRNA from 1 species